GAUGAAGAACGCAGCGAAAUGCGAUACUUGGUGUGAAUUGCAGAAUCCCGUGAACCAUCGAGUCUUUGAACGCAAGUUGCGCCCGAAGCCAUUAGGCCGAGGGCACGCCUGCCUGGGCGUCACACGUCGUUGCCCCCCCAUCUACUCCUUCGGGAUUGCGGGGGGCGGAUGAUGGCCUCCCGUGCGCCUCGCCGCGCGGUUGGCAUAAAUGCCAAGUCCUCGGCGACGCACGCCACGACAAUCGGUGGUUGCGAAACCUCGGUUGCCCGUCGUGUGCGGUCGUCGCGCAUCGAGGGCUCGAAAAAAUUGCCGGGUUCCGGCUCGGCUUUCAACGCGACCCCAGGUCAGGCGGGGUUACCCGCUGAAUUUAAGCAUAUCAAUAAGCGGAGA
rnacentral:misc_RNA from 1 species